UAGGGAAUCUUCCGCAAUGGACGAAAGUCUGACGGAGCAACGCCGCGUGAGUGAUGAAGGUUUUCGGAUCGUAAAGCUCUGUUGCCAGGGAAGAAUGCUUGGGAGAGUAACUGCUCCCAAGGUGACGGUACCUGAGAAGAAAGCCCCGGCUAACUACGUGCCAGCAGCCGCGGUAAUACGUAGGGGGCAAGCGUUGUCCGGAAUUAUUGGGCGUAAAGCGCGCGCAGGCGGCCUUGUAAGUCUGUUGUUUAAACUUGGGGCUCAACCCCAAGUCGCAAUGGAAACUGCAAAGCUUGAGUGCAGAAGAGGAAAGUGGAAUUCCACGUGUAGCGGUGAAAUGCGUAGAGAUGUGGAGGAACACCAGUGGCGAAGGCGACUUUCUGGGCUGUAACUGACGCUGAGGCGCGAAAGCGUGGGGAGCAAACAG
rnacentral:rRNA from 1 species